AGGGUUUGAUCAUGGCUCAGAAUGAACGUUGGCGGCGUGGAUUAGGCAUGCAAGUCGAGCGAGAAGCUUAGAAUUGAUCUUUCGAGUGAUUUUCUGAGUGGACAGCGGCGAAAGGGAGAGUAACGAGUAGAUACGUACCCAAGGGUGCGGGAUAGCGGGGAGAAAUCGCCGGUAAUACCGCAUUAUGUCUCCGGACCAAAGAUUUAUCGCCCUUGGAGCGGUCUGCUUCCUAUUAGUUAGUUGGUGGGGUAAUGGCCUACCAAGACUUUGAUGGGUAGCGGGUGUGAGAGCAUGGCCCGUCUCACUGGGACUGAGACACUGCCCAGACACCUACGGGUGGCUGCAGUCGAGAAUCUUUGUCAAUGGACGAAAGUCUGAACAAGCGACGCCGCGUGCGGGAUGAAGGCCCUCGGGUUGUAAACCGCUGUCAUAGGGGAGGAAAUUUUGACCGAUCCUAAGAGGAAGCACAGGCUAAAUUCGUGCCAGCAGCCGCGGUAAUACGAAUUGUGCGAACGUUAUUCGGAAUCACUGGGCUUAAAGGGUGCGUAGGCGGCUAUGUAGGUCUGAUGUGAAAUCCCACGGCUCAACCGUGGAACUGCGUUGGAAACCAUGUAGCUUGAGGGAGACAGAGGAAAGCGGAACUGAUGGUGGAGCGGUGAAAUGCGCUGAGAUCAUCAGGAACACCGGUGGCGAAAGCGGCUUUCUGGGUCUCUUCUGACGCUGAGGCACGAAAGCUAGGGGAGCGAAC
rnacentral:rRNA from 1 species